AUAGGCAAACAUGCAGACAGAACACUGUAU
rnacentral:piRNA from 1 species